GCCUACGUGAGACAACUGAUGUCAACACAAUAUUAAUUUGUUAAACUAAUCAAUAUAGUUUUGUCUGGAAGGCCAGCAGUCUCCACGUGAACACUACGCGCCAUCAAAAAACAAGAAACAACCUGAGGCCCUUAAAAUCCGGAGCCUCGCGGGCCGAACAGCGAAAUGUAGUGAAAAUCCAGGGUUUUAAAUUUCUUCUUCUCUAUGAGCGAACCUAAACUGUUUCUGCUUUGACAGUUCAGUCUUAUGAUCUCACUAGAUUCUUAAGGGUUUUCUGGUGAGGUGUUUUGUUCCGGUUGAAAAAUGGCAGCUCAUAGAUUUAAAUCGGAGAAUAAAGAUGCUGAGAAGCAGCUACGUCGAUACCCGUGCGACGUUCUAGGCGUCUUGAGGGAUCAAGAAAUUAAGAGCGCCUACCCUAGUAAAGCUUCUUUAUUGGUUUCUUGUUGUCUCUGUAGUUUGCUAUGCGAGUUUGGAAGAUAAAGAUCAAAUCUCGUCACAAUCUUAGUGGAAGAUAGAAUCUUUAUGGGUUUGGGAGAAGAUUCUUGAAUUGAGUUUACCAAUAAGUCUCUGGCAACAUGUUAAUGGGUACUUAUACUAAAGGGAAGGCGGUGGUCUAGUCUCCUUCUGCUUAUCUCUGUUUUAGUCUUGUUCCCUAUUGUAGCCAAUGCCUGGCUAUGAUCUCACUUUUGUGUGCGUAAGUAGAAUCAUCUUAGCAAAAGAAAAUUCAAGGUUGGCUCGCCAUAGUCUUUUCCCGUCAAAGUGGUAUGAAAAUGCCAAAGCAUUGAGAUAAUUAACGUGUGCGUCUGUCUGUUUGUGUAUUUUGAUCAAGAAGCCAAUAGCGGAUUGAGCUUAGCCCUCUUAUUUCAUUUUAAAAUUCAUACCACAUGAAAAAGAAAAGGCAUGUCAUUACUGAGUAUAUAAGAAAUCCUAUACCUAAUUUUGGUUUUAAAGCAUUGUACAAAGGUUGAUUUUCCUGUGCUUUUUGAAGAA